rnacentral:rRNA from 1 species
AACGAACGCCGGCGGCGCGCCUAAUACAUGCAAGUCGAGCGAGAAGACGUAGCAAUACGUUUGUAAAGCGGCGAACGGGUGAGGAAUACAUGGGUAACCUACCCUCGAGUGGGGAAUAACUAGCCGAAAGGUUAGCUAAUACCGCGUACGCUCCUUGGACUUCGGUUCAUGGAGGAAAGCGAUACCGUGGGUAUCGCGCUCUUGGAUGGGCUCAUGUCCUAUCAGCUUGNGGUGAGGUAACGGCUCACCAAGGCUUCAACGGGUAGCUGGUCUGAGAGGACGAUCAGCCACACUGGCACUGCGACACGGGCCAGACUCCUACGGGAGGCAGCAGUAAGGAAUAUUGCGCAAUGGGCGAAAGCCUGACGCAGCGACGCCGCGUGGGGGAUGAAGGUCUUCGGAUUGUAAACCCCUUUCGGG